UGUUGCUUAUGUGAACAUUGCAUGUUACUACGUUUUUGGGAUCCCUUUGGGUCUCAUUCUGGGUUACAAGCUUGAUUGGGGUGUCACGGGGAUUUGGUACGGCAUGAUGAUUGGAACGAUCGUACAGACUGGUGUACUUUUCAUUAUAGUUUAUAGGACCAACUGGAACAAAGAGGCAUCAAUUGCUGGAGACAGAAUAAGGAAAUGGGGAGGGCCGAAACAGAGUGAUGUAGAGAAAACAAACGAGAGCUGAGAGUUCAAGGAAACAUGCCUGAGUU